rnacentral:rRNA from 1 species
GUGGGGAAUAUUGGGCAAUGGGCGCAAGCCUGACCCAGCAACGCCGCGUGAAGGAUGAAGGUUUUCGGAUUGUAAACUUCUGUCCUCAGGGACGAAAGGAAUGACGGUACCUGAGGAGGAAGCCCCGGCUAACUACGUGCCAGCAGCCGCGGUAAUACGUAGGGGGCGAGCGUUGUCCGGAAUUACUGGGCGUAAAGGGAGCGUAGGCGGCCAAUUAAGUCAGAUGUGAAAUUCCCGGGCUUAACCUGGGCAGUGCAUCUGAAACUGGAUGGCUUGAGUGCGGGAGAGGAAAGUGGAAUUCCUAGUGUAGCGGUGAAAUGCGUAGAUAUUAGGAGGAACACCAGUGGCGAAGGCGACUUUCUGGACCGUAACUGACGCUGAGGCUCGAAAGCGUGGGGAGCAAACAGGA